rnacentral:rRNA from 1 species
UGGGGAAUAUUGCACAAUGGGCGCAAGCCUGAUGCAGCCAUGCCGCGUGUGUGAAGAAGGCCUUCGGGUUGUAAAGCACUUUCAGCGGGGAGGAAGGCGAUAAGGUUAAUAACCUUGUCGAUUGACGUUACCCGCAGAAGAAGCACCGGCUAACUCCGUGCCAGCAGCCGCGGUAAUACGGAGGGUGCAAGCGUUAAUCGGAAUUACUGGGCGUAAAGCGCACGCAGGCGGUCUGUCAAGUCGGAUGUGAAAUCCCCGGGCUCAACCUGGGAACUGCAUUCGAAACUGGCAGGCUAGAGUCUUGUAGAGGGGGGUAGAAUUCCAGGUGUAGCGGUGAAAUGCGUAGAGAUCGGGAGGAAUACCGGUGGCGAAGGCGGCCCCCUGGACAAAGACUGACGCUCAGGUGCGAAAGCGUGGGGAGCAAACAGG